GCCGGGCGCGGUGGCGCAUGCCUGUAGUCCCAGCUACUCGGGAGGCUGAGGUGGGAGGAUUGCUUGAGCCCAGGAGUUCUGGGCUGCAGUGCGCUAUGCCGAUCAGGUGUCCGCACUAAGUUCGGCAUCAAUAUGGUGACCUCCCGGGAGCGGGGGACCACCAGGUUGCCUAAGGAGGGGUGAACCGGCCCAGGUCGGAAACGGAGCAGGUCAAAACUCCCGUGCUGAUCAGUAGUGGGAUCGCGCCUGUGAAUAGCCACUGCACUCCAGCCUGGGCAACAUAGCGAGACCCUGUCUCU
rnacentral:SRP_RNA from 1 species